CUUUUUGCAAGGAAGUUAUUAAGCACGAUUUACAUGACAGGAAUGGGGAGAGAAUCUUAAACUUUAAAAACUAUAAACUUUUAAACUAAAAGUAAUGCAGAAAACUGAGAAAAUGUACAUACAGAAAGAAAUGCCUAUCUGCACCAUUUAGUAGCUUACUUUUUUCACCUGUGAAUGUAUUGUGAACAUAUUUUCAUGCCAAUAAAUAUUUCUACAACAUGACGGCAACAGCUGCGGUUAUUCCAUGGGGCUAAUAUCCCAUCAUCCAUUCAGCUGUCCACCGUUGGCUGUGUAAAUAGACUCUCAGAACAGUAAAGCCCAAGGACAUGGGUGUGCAGAGCAACUUGGGAGAAGGCUGUUUGUUGUCAUUAAUUUUUUGAGUCUUCAUAGUGCUAUGAUGCAGAGAAGGUCACCUAUUUUCUAACUCUGUUUUCUUAAUGGGGAAAAAAUAUAGGACAAUAAGAGAUCUCGGUGUCCAGAUGUAUUUCCCCAUCUCCUUUAAGUUUCCAGAAACCUGUGAUGGAAGAAGACAGGCACCUUCAUUAUAACCCAGAGCGAAGACAUGACUCCAGACAAUGUCCUGUAUUCCUGCCUAUACUGAAUUCAUUCAUGGAUGUGGACUUCCUUAAAGAAAGAGGCGGCUGGAACCCACCUGGGGGCUUUGACACAUCAAAUGUCUUCUUACUUAAUAUCCAAGCUGCUUCAGAGUUAGGGGAGUACUCAGUAGUUUUGUGGACUUCAUCAACCACAAUGAUAAGCUGUUUUAUCUUGCUUACAGGAGGCAGAAAUAUUCCAAAUACUCACCUUCACACUCGGGCUUUGCAAGUCUCUGUAAAUUAUUUUUAG
rnacentral:lncRNA from 1 species